GUUUUAGGCAUACAUUAUGUUUGGUUUUAAGAAAAUUGCCUUUCCUGUGAAUUUGAUUUCUUACAUAUAUGCUAGUGGCCUAAGUAAAAAAUACAUAAAAUAUUAUGAAAUCCAUCGGGAUCGAUGUACGGUUCCGUAACCACGUGUAAACAUCAUGGCUUCCUGCAACGUUUUGUACGUCCUCAGAAAAAGAUUCAGGUGCAUGAAUUGUCAUCGAAGCUUCAGAUUCUGGCUCUGAUUUUGAUGAAUAUGAUUCUGACAGCGAACAUUCAUUUGGUAGCGAGACGGAUGUAGUGAUGAUGAUACCGAAUCAACAACGUUUGAAUUUGAAAGUGAAACAGAUAUUUAUGAGAUGUUAUGAAGAUAGCUACAGUUAUGAUUUUUGGCUUCAUGGAAUAGUAGAAUUUUCUUUAUGGGAGAUCACAUUUAUUUGAGAAAAGAGUUGUCAAAUACUUGUGCAGACUGCAGACUUUUCAAAUUCAAAGGGCACCAUGUGUUCCUUGACAGAUUAUUCAUAUUCAUUUCCUUGGAUAGGGCUGGGCUUUACAAUUGGAUUUUCAGCUGUGGAGCUAUAAAGAAUUACUAUGCAGGGUUUCCAAUGUAGUUUUGUGAACAGAAUCCAGAAAUAAGAAGAGGAGGGACAAUGCAGUUGCAGCAUGAGCAUGACCAAUUACUUGCCACUGCUGAGAAAAUGGUACAUGCUUUGAGUACUACUUUUGUGUAUUUGGAGACAGUCCAGUUCUUUAAACCAGGAGUGGAAAUUUCAGUGCUUGUUAAAUUUUCUCCAGAACUUAUUGGAUGCUACAUAGGAAGAAAAUGGGGUCAUACUGAACAGAAUAGUUUGGAUACAUC